rnacentral:rRNA from 1 species
UACGAAGGGGGCUAGCGUUACUCGGAUUGACUGGGCGUAAAGGGCGCGUAGGCGGCUUGUACAGUCAGACGUGAAAUUCCUGGGCUCAACCUGGGGGCUGCGUUUGAUACGUGCGGGCUUGAGUUCGGAAGAGGGUCGUGGAAUUCCCAGUGUAGAGGUGAAAUUCGUAGAUAUCGGGAGGAAUACCAGUGGCGAAGGCGGCGACCUGGGCCAAUACUGACGCUGAGGUGCGAAAGCGUGGGGAGCAAACAGG